AAAUAAAAAACCUAAAAAUUACAUUAAAAAAAUAAAAACACAAUUUAAAUUACAUAAAUUAAACUCCUAGUCUAGAUAAGACCACGACGCUUGAGCAUUUCUUGGACCAUGUGCUCGUGGGCCAUCCUCUGUGCAUCGCUCAUAUGCGAUGUAUCCAGACUGAGGAGUUGCAUGUCGAGCUCCCUCUCCUUGAGCUCGUUCUUUUUGGCAUAUUCGGCUGUGAUUUUUUUCAAGUUCUGAUCGGACCGAUCCAAUGCCUCUUUGUACUCCGAUGACUGCUCGGAGCUUGCCGCCGCCUUCCCCUUCCCCUUCGCUUUCGCCGCCCUCGCCGCCGCCUUCCCAAUCGGCCGGGCAGACGAGAUCUCCUCGCCCGACGCCGAGGUGGUGAAAGCGCCCUCCUCUGUCGUCUUUGUCCUCUUGGAGGAAUGCACGUCUCCCUCGAGGUACAUCGACUUGAACUUGUGGUUGUUCCGAAGAAUUCUCCACGCAUUCCAGUAGUUGAAGGAGGCGUUAUUUGCGCUCCGAGUUUUGAAAAGAGUUUGGGCCUUGUCCCGGAGCAUAUCGUCAGAAUGGCCGGACGGCCACCGGCUUUUCGCCUCAACCCAAAUACUCUCCCACAACCGCACCUCUUGGGCCACUCGGGUCCAGUGCCCUUGAAUCUGGAGGUGCUUGAGGUUGGCGCCGAUAAUGGGGUUGACACGGGCGACGAUCAUCUUCCAGUAAUCGUACCCCUUUUGAUUUGUCCCACGGAUGUCGUCGUUUGUCUCCUCCAUCCAAAUUUGGACGAUGAUGUCCGUCUCCUCAGGGGUGUAGGUAUGACGGAUAGUCUUUCUUCCGUCAUCCUCCGCCACCGGCGCCUGCCUGUCAUGCCGGAUCUUGUGAGCGACUUCUUUCCUCCGGCUGCCUUUCUUCGGUUUGGCAGCACUAUGGGCUGCCGAAGGCAUCUCCUCGCCGGACUUAGGAGCAUCCCCCAAGUUACACCCCGAUAAAUCGGGAUGAUAUUCGUCGGAUAGAUCGGGGCACCAAUUUAGGUCAUAGUAAUUUGGGUUGUGUGGAUCCAUGGAGGGUGUAGAGAGAGAAAGAAAGGAAGAAGUAAGGAUGAAGAAGAAGAAGUGAGGGUGUAGGGGAAAAAAAAUGAGGAAGAAGAAAGAAUAAAUAGAAGAAAAAGAAGAGGAAAAAAAAAAAUUGGAACGGUCAAAAUUCACGCAAAUCGAGGCAGCAACAGUCAAAUCGAUUUUUUUUUUAAUCGUCGCGUGCAUCACACGCGCCUUACACUAUCAUCAAAAUGGGCUACACGAUAGAACGUGUAGCCCUCGUGUAACUCUCGCCCGCAACGCUUACACGAUAGCAGACUUACACGAGUAAGCUGCUAUCGUGUAGGCGUUGCCAAUGCUCUUAUACUACUAAAAAAGCUCUCAUAAAUGACACUUAAAACACGUCAGAUAUGCAUAUAAAACAGUGUCACAUAUACGCGUCAUACAUGUGUUAUAUUGUUUUUUUUAUGAUAGAUAAAAAAUGUCAUAUAUACAUUCAUACGUAACAUUUUUUUCAUAUACAUGACAAUUUUUAAAUGUCAUGUAAAUAAUUAUAAAUGACAUUUUAUAACAAUCACGUAUGAGGUAUAUAUAUAUAACAGUUAACGGACCAUAAAUGACACUUAAAAAUGAUCAUGUAUUAUAGUACAUGUGACAAUUUUUAAAUGUCAUGUAUAUCAUAAUAGAUGGUGAUUUUUAUGUGUCAUCUAUACUCUUUCCAAAUUAUAGCCUAUUUUGCUUAUAUAUAUUCAUUCUAAUUUCUUGUAUUUAAAUUUUAAAAGCCAAUAAAUUGUACUUUCUUCGUUCCUCAAACAUCUUUAUUAAGAGAAGGUAACAUGAGUUUUAAUAAAUGUUAGUCGCUCUCAUUUCUAGCAAGGGGAUUGAUUACGGUUCUUACCAUAUCUAGCGACAUUUUAACAAUAGUCAGGGAGAAAUCAUAUUCAACAGAACAAAUAAAGGAGCAAAGGGGUGAAUAUAGAGAAGAACCAAAAUUGAAUUUCAAGAUCAAAUGAACAGAAGGUACAACAUUACAGGAACCUCGUAAAUCUACUAAUACUAACUUAAGCAAAACAUGUAGAUAGAUGUGUUGUGAAACUUCAACUGCACAUCUUAAAAUGUUAAUAGGUAAAACUUCAAGAAACAACUUCGACUGUGCGUCGAGGAGAAAAGCCCUUCUACUGCUGUUGGGCUUCAACUUUCUUUUUCUGCCACAACCUAUCAAGUGCACUGUCCGCAUCACCCUGCAGACCAGAAUUUCCAACUCUCAUACAAGAUAAAUCACAUAUAUUAUGAGACAUGAAAAAGUUGGCAAAACACUUUUUAAACUUUGAUAGAGAUUAUUAAGCUUCUUGAUCAAUUGACAUUCUUCUAUACCAUAUGAAACACUUUAUAAGGUUAGCAAAAUGAGAGAAAAAAA
rnacentral:lncRNA from 1 species